GUGCUCGCUUUGGCAGCACAUGUACUAAAACUGGAACAAUACAGAGAAGAUUAGCAUGGUCUCUGUGCAAGGAUGACACGGAAAUUAUGAUUGAAGAGUGAU